CUUGGAUUUUUAUUUGGCAAAUAUUAAUUGUAUGAUAAAUUAUCAUGCACAGCAAUGUUUUUUUUUCCUGAAAAUGUUCUGUAUUUUUUAUGCACCUCUCAGUCUCCCAUGUAGCAUCCUUUUGAAAAAUAUGAUAAAGUCCCUUCUAAUCCAGUGGCCUUUUUUUUUAAUUUUUUUUUGGUGCCACCUCUGUAUCAAACUAAGCUCGGUCCAGAAGUGGACUCAGUCUUGUGUCUCUGCUUGCUCUGUCCCCUCCAGAGCCCCGCUCCAGUCUCCUUGCCUCCCCACUGAUGAGGGGCUGGAGGACGCCUUCUUUGCAGAAGAGGCCCUCAGCUUCGCGCAGCUAGAAGAAGCUGAGAUAAGUGAUCUGGAAGGUGCUUUCGUACAGCUUCAGAUGCCUUGUCCUUUGCUUGAAGCACCUAGACACCUAGCAGCAUGUCCAAGCAUGCUCGAGACCUUGAGCUAG
rnacentral:lncRNA from 1 species